UACGUAGGCAGCGAGCGUUGUUCGGAGUUACUGGGCGUAAAGAGUGCGUAGGCGGUUUUCUAAGUUUGGUGUGAAAUCUCCCGGCUUAACUGGGAGGGUGCGCCGAAGACUGGAAGGCUUGAGUAUGGGAGAGGUAAGCGGAAUUCCUGGUGUAGCGGUGAAAUGCGUAGAUAUCGGGAGGAACACCAGUGGCGAAGGCGGCGAUCUGGGAAGAUACGUGACGCUGAGGUGCGAAAGCGUGGGGAGCAAACAGG
rnacentral:rRNA from 1 species